rnacentral:rRNA from 1 species
UUAAAUUGAAGAGUUUGAUCAUGGCUCAGAUUGAACGCUGGCGGCAGGCCUAACACAUGCAAGUCGAGCGGUAGCACAUG